rnacentral:rRNA from 1 species
UACGUAGGGGGCAAGCGUUGUCCGGAUUUAUUGGGCGUAAAGAGCGUGUAGGCGGCCUGAAAGGUCAGCUGUGAAAACUCGAGGCUCAACCUCGAGACGUCGGUUGAAACCAUCUGGCUAGAGUCCGGAAGAGGAGUGUGGAAUCCCCGGUGUAGCGGUGAAAUGCGCAGAUAUCGGGAAGAACACCCGUGGCGAAGGCGGCACUCUGGGACGGUACUGACGCUGAGACACGAAAGCGUGGGGAGCGAACAGG